AAAAACUCCCAGAAAACUAGGAAUAUCGGAAGCUUCCUCGACUUGAGAAAGGGCAUCAAUGAAAAACCUACAGCUAACAUUAUAUUUAAUGGUUAAAGUCUGAGUGUUUUCCCCCUAAGAUAAAGGACAAAGCAAAUAUAUCUGUUCUCACCACUCUAACAAUACUGGAUGUUCUGGCCACUGCAAUAGGCAAGAAAAGGAAAUAAAAGACAUACGGAUUGGAAAAAAAAGAAAGAAAACUGUCCCUAUUUGCAGAUGACAGGAUGAUCUACAUCCAAAAUUCUAAGGAAUUUAUAAAAAGUGAGCUCACGUGUAGCACCACGCCCGGGUAAGUUUUGUAUUUUUAGUUAAAGACGGAGUUUCACCAUGUUGGCCAGGCUGGUCUCCAACUCCUGAGCUCAACUGAUCCGCCCGCCUUGGCGUCCCAGAGUGCUGGGAUUACAGGCCUGAGCCACCGCGCCUGGCCCAGUUUAAAAUGUUUUUAAGCGCCCCUUGCCUACAUAGGUCGGGGUGGAAAGCUGCCCCGCAGGCACUUGCAGUUUCAUGGUGCCUCCCUCACAAUAGUUAAAUGAAAAAAUAAAUCUACUCAGAGGCGGAAAAUAUCCUAAUCAACUUAGUCUCUCCCUCCCUGGAGAUGGAGGUCAGAGUAAGACCUGGAGUGGCUGGGGUGGAGGAGUGGAGGGCCUUUGGCCCCAGGGAGCUGAGCCGUCUUUUGCUUAGAGGCGAGUGUGACUGGCAGAGAAAUGGCAUGAUGUCCUUCCCUGGGGUGUCAGGCUUCAGCAGGGGUUCCAAGACUCUGCCAUGGCUUGGAUUCUAGAGAGCCCCUCUCCACCUACAAGCCAGGAGUCUCUGAGGGACCCUGGGGAACGCCCUCUGAUGUGGCAAACCCACCAGCAGGCACUGUUACCCUACCUGCAGGGUCACAGCGCCAACUGCUGGUGGGGUCCAGGCCACACUGAGCUUAGCCUCGGGUAAGUGUUUAGCUGCGCUUCACUGACGAUUUCCUAUGGGCCUGGUGUUUCUCACUGAAUCUUUACAACAUUCCUACCUGGUGGGGGUGUUUGGCUCCAACUUACAGAUGAGAUGCCUGAGGCAUAGGGUUUUGCUUCUAAGGGGCUGAGCCUGGGUUUGAACCCUGAGCAGCCACCAAUGAGAGAUAUCCCAGCCAGAGGCACCCUCAACCCCCGAGCUUCAGCCUCAGGCCUGCCUGCCUGUCCUGCAACUCCCAGCUCCCAAGGUAGGCAGGGUCUGAACGAGCCAAGGGUCUCUGGGAGCCCAGCUACUUCUCCCAGCAGUUAAGGAACAAGAUAGGUUAUCUCACAUCUGCCUAUUUUGCCUUCAAGGAAGAUGCAACCUAGAUUUCAUAAGGCAAGCCCCAUUUUAUUUUUUUAGAGACAGGUCUUGCUCUGUCACCCAGGCUGAAGUGCAGUGGUGUGAUCAUAGUUCACUGCAGCCUCGACCUCCUGGGCUCAAGUGAUCCUCCUCCCUCAGCCUCCUGAGUAGCUGAGACUACAGGCACAUACCACCAUACCUAGCUAAUUUUUAUACUUUUAAAUUUUUUUGCAGAGAUAAGGUCUU
rnacentral:lncRNA from 1 species